GACGAACGCUGGCGGCGUGCUUAACACAUGCAAGUCGAACGGACAGGCCCUGCUUUUGUGGGGUGCUCGAGUGGCGAACGGGUGAGUAACACGUGAGUAACCUGCCCUUGACUUUGGGAUAACUUCAGGAAACUGGGGCUAAUACCGGAUAGGAGCUCCUGCUGCGUGUUGGGGGUUGGAAAGUGUCGGCGGUUGGGGCUGGACUCGCGGCUUAUGCGCUUGUUGGUGGAGUAGUGGAUUACCAAGGCUUUGACGGGUAGCCGGCAUGAGAGGGUGACCGGCCACAAUGGGCCUGAGAGACGGCGCAGACUCCUACGGGAGGCAGUAGUGGGGAAUAUUGCACAAUGGGCGGAAGCCUGAUGCAGAAACGCCGCGUGCGGGAUGACGGCCUUCGGGUUGUAAACCGCUUUCGCCGGUGACGAAGCGUGAGUGACGGUAAUGGGUAAAGAAGCACCGGCUAACUACGUG
rnacentral:rRNA from 1 species